rnacentral:rRNA from 1 species
UACGUAGGGUGCGAGCGUUAAUCGGAAUUACUGGGCGUAAAGCGUGCGCAGGCGGUUCGUUGUGUCGGCGGUGAAAGCCCCGGGCUUAACCUGGGAAUGGCCGUUGAAACUGGCGAACUGGAGUGUGGCAGAGGGGGGUGGAAUUCCGAGUGUAGCAGUGAAAUGCGUAGAGAUGCGGAGGAACACCGAUGGCGAAGGCAGCCCCCUGGGCUAACACUGACGCUCAGGCACGAAAGCGUGGGGAGCAAACAGG